rnacentral:pre_miRNA from 1 species
AAUAAACUAAUUUUUCACUUUUUAUCUUUAAUUUUUGACUUUUCGUCUUAUUCAAAAAAAUUUUAUGAUUGAUAUUUUUAUUUUUAUUAGAUGAUAAAUUAUGAAUAGUAUUUUACGUGUGACUAAUUUUAUUCUAAUUUUCUGAAAAGUUUUUAAAUAAGAUGGAUGGUUAAAUGUUAGACACGAGAACCGAAG